rnacentral:rRNA from 1 species
UGAGUGCGAGCUGCUACGGCAGCGAAGUUGGUGACGUCAUGCUUCCAAGAAAAGCCCUACACCCGUUAAGGCAUCAUGGCCUGUACCCGAAACCGACACAGGUGGGGUGGUAGAGAAUACCGAGGGGCGCGAGGUAACUCUCUCUAAGGAACUCGGCAAAAUGGCCCCGUAACUUCGGGAGAAGGGGUGCCACCGCAAGGUGGUCGCAGCGAAGAGGCCCAGGCGACUGUUUACCAAAAACACAGGUCUCCGCUAAGUCGCAAGACGAUGUAUGGGGGCUGACGCCUGCCCAGUGCCGGAAGGUUAAGGAAGCUGGUCAGCGCAAGCGAAGCUGGCGGCUGAAGCCCCGGUGAACGGCGGCCGUAACUAUAACGGUCCUAAGGUAGCGAAAUUCCUUGUCGGGUAAGUUCCGACCCGCACGAAAGGCGUAACGAUCUGGGCGCUGUCUCGGAGAGAGGCUCGGCGAAAUAGAAUUGUCUGUGAAGAUGCGGACUACGUGCACCCGGACAGAAAGACCCUAUGAAGCUUUACUGUAGCUUGGUAUUGUGCCCGGGCUCGCAAUGCGCAGGAUAGGUGGGAGGCUUUGAUCAUCGGCUUGCGGGUCGAUGUGAGCCAGCGGUGAGAUACCACUCUUUGCGAGCUAGGGUUCUAACGGCCACCCGUCAUCCGGGGGCCGGACAGUACCUGGUGGUCAGUUUGACUGGGGCGGUCGCCUCCUAAAAGGUAACGGAGGCGCGCAAAGGUUUGCUCAGGCUGGUUGGAAAUCAGCCGACGAGUGUAAAAGCAGAAGCAAGCUUGACUGUGAGACCAACAAGUCGAACAGGGAGGAAACUCGGCUUUAGUGAUCCGACGGUUCUGAGUGGAAGGGCCGUCGCUCAACGGAUAAAAGUUACUCUAGGGAUAACAGGCUGAUCUCCCCCAAGAGUUCACAUCGACGGGGAGGUUUGGCACCUCGAUGUCGGCUCAUCGCAACCUGGGGCUGAAGUCGGUCCCAAGGGUUGGGCUGUUCGCCCAUUAAAGCGGUACGCGAGCUGGGUUCAGAACGUCGUGAGACAGUUCGGUCCAUAUCCGGUGCACGCGCAGGAAUAUUGAGAGGAUUUCUCCCUAGUACGAGAGGACCGGGAGGAACGCACCUCUGGUGUACCAGUUAUCGUGCCAACGGUAAACGCUGGGUAGCCAUGUGCGGAGUGGAUAACCGCUGAAAGCAUCUAAGUGGGAAGCCCACCUCAAGAUGAGUAUUCCCAUGGCGUAAGCCAGUAAGGUCACGGGAAGAACACCCGUUGAUAGGCUCUAUGUGGAAGCGCAGUAAUGCGUGAAGCAGAGGAGUACUAAUAGACCGAGGGCUUGACC